rnacentral:misc_RNA from 1 species
GGGGGGGGGGGGGCGUGGAGAGUGUUUCAAAAGGUCAAAUGAUCCUGUAGAGAAAAAAACUUGAAAGUCUCAUGGGACCCACUUUCAUCCCACAAAAUUGCUCAAGUAGAUUUUCCAAGUUCAUGCCAACAUCAUUAAUCAAAUAUGAGUAUAUUGCAAAUGUACAUAUUGGGCAUUUCUACAAAUCAUAGUUUAUCUAAAGCUGGAUAAAGUAAAGACAUUGGCUUUACAAUAUCUUACAUUUAAACCAAUUAGGUAAAAUAGAUAAAUGUUUAGUUAAGGAUUCAACCAUAAUGAGGUUUCCUUGGAUUCAGCAGAUUAGGAAAUUGAUGAUUAUUUUUAAGUUCUGCACUAAAUCAGAAGGUAUGAUAGUAAAUUUGUUUGCAAAGUUUUAUUACUGCCAUUCUCAGGGUCAUUUAAUCAAUUUUUAUCUCAUUGUGUAGCCUUCUGGUUAUAAAAUUUCCUACAUAAUGACAUUAACUAGAAUAUACCAACAAAUUCUAAAAAAAGAUUUUAAUAAUCGAAAAAGCACAUGUUGUUCAGUAGAACACCAAAUAUUAAUAUUUAAUAAAUGUGUAUUAUUCAACUUUAUAUGGCAUCUGAAGCUUCUGGCAGGCAUCCAAUAUGGGCAUGACUAAUUAAGUUAUGAAAAGACCAAACAACUUUGUUGCAAUUGAUUUGCCUUACAAGCGGAUAGAAAAGUUGCUUACUCCUUGAAAAGCAUCUGCAUUUGUUUUUGGCCCUCAGCAACGGCUGUGGGGUCCAUACCCUUAUCUUGCACCUGUUGCUUAAUCUCCUCCAAAUGUGGCCUCAAGAG